UCGGAUCAGGGAGAAGGCCAUCUAUC
rnacentral:rRNA from 1 species